rnacentral:rRNA from 1 species
ACGAACGCUGGCGGCGUGCCUAAUACAUGCCAGUUGAGCGCUGAAGGUUGGUACUUGUACCAACUGGAUGAGCAGCGAACGGGUGAGUAACGCGUGGGGAAUCUGCCUUUGAGCGGGGGACAACAUUUGGAAACGAAUGCUAAUACCGCAUAAAAACUUUAAACACAAGUUUUAAGUUUGAAAGAUGCAAUUGCAUCACUCAAAGAUGAUCCCGCGUUGUAUUAGCUAGUUGGUGAGGUAAAGGCUCACCAAGGCGAUGAUACAUAGCCGACCUGGGAGGGUGAUCGGCCACAUUGGGACUGAGACACGGCCCAAACUCCUACGGGAGGCAGCAGUAGGGAAUCUUCGGCAAUGGACGAAAGUCUGACCGAGCAACGCCGCGUGAGUGAAGAAGGUUUUCGGAUCGUAAAACUCUGUUGGUAGAGAAGAACGUUGGUGAGAGUGGAAAGCUCAUCAAGUGACGGUAACUACCCAGAAAGGGACGGCUAACUACGUG